rnacentral:rRNA from 1 species
GUGGGGAAUAUUGGACAAUGGGCGAAAGCCUGAUCCAGCCAUGCCGCGUGUGUGAAGAAGGUCUUCGGAUUGUAAAGCACUUUAAGUUGAGAGGAAGGGCAGUAAGUUAAUACCUUGCUGUUUUGACGUUACCAACAGAAUAAGCACCGGCUAACUUCGUGCCAGCAGCCGCGGUAAUACGAAGGGUGCAAGCGUUAAUCGGAAUUACUGGGCGUAAAGCGCGCGUAGGUGGUUCAGCAAGUUGAAGGUGAAAUCCCCGAGCUCAACCUGGGAACUGCCUCCAAAACUACUGAGCUAGAGUACGGUAGAGGGUAGUGGAAUUUCCUGUGUAGCGGUGAAAUGCGUAGAUAUAGGAAGGAACACCAGUGGCGAAGGCGACUACCUGGACUGAUACUGACACUGAGGUGCGAAAGCGUGGGGAGCAAACAGGAUUAGAAACCCUAGUAGUCC